UAUAAGGUGACAAAGAGCUUACUUCCUGAAGAGUGCAGAUUGUUUUAAAAAACUCUGUCUAGUGUAUCCUCAAAGCUCUUGAUGUAGUUUACUAUUGAUCAACAACUUCAAGCAUUGUGCGACCUGGAAUAGAACUUGUAGAGUGAAAUCUGAAGACCUGAUUGCUGCUAGAGGAUGAAGGUUUCAGGACUGGUCUGCUCAACUCGUCCUACAGUUUUCUGAAGCAGAGAAGGUCGUUGAAUGCUUUUGUUGGAGGUACAGGUUUCAUCCCGAAUGAGUUACAGCCAGCUCAUGGCAUUUGAUCAAGUUUAUAUUAAUUCUUUUAUUUACUCUCUUUGCAGAAUUUGUUAGCAGUAUAUGUUCGUGUGAAUUUCAAUUGGCAAGAUAAGAAGUCGUGGAUGCGUGACAAACAUGUAAUGCGAGUGUGAGGUAUAUACGCAACAACACAAGGUAUCUGUGUUAAAUGGAUCUUUGCCAUGGCAGGUCCAAAAAAAUUAAAUUGUUUUGAUAUGUUGGCUGUAUAUGUUCUUGUGAAUUUUAAUUGGUGAGAUCAGAAGUCGUGGUUGCGUGAGAUACAUGUAAUGUGAGUGUGAAGUAUAUACACAACCACACAAGGUAUCUGUGUUAAAUGGAUCUUUGCUAUGUCAGGUGCGCUUGCAUGGCAGGUCCGAAAAAUUAAUGAAGUUACAGUUAUUUUGUUUUGAGAGGGGAGAUAGGUUUGGGGACAUUUUCUUUUAUCCCCGCCUCCCUCUCCCUCUCUGUUGUGUCUUGUUCUUUUUUUUUUUUUUUUUUUGUCUUCUCUCUCUCUUUCUUUUCUUCUUGCUUCUCUAUUCUGAUACUUUCCUUUACUGUUAUGCUCCACCCAUAAAAUUGCGAGGACUUCUAAUAAACAAAACCUAAUUCAACAGGCAAUUAACAACACAUUGAAGUACACAGUGCGAUAACAAGGUACAUGGUUAUGCUGUUAUGAUACCAGAAUUUAUUCUCUCCUGAAUUCAUGACAUUAUUUGUGGUUUAUGACUAAAAUUGAAGGCCAUGGAUGCAAUUAAACUCUGAUAUGUUUAAUUGAUUUGCUUAAGAUAGUCACGAACUACGAGCAAUAUUUUCAUCAUUGAGUUAUUUUAUUAUUUACAUUUAAGUAUAUUUUGUGUUUUCUAGAAAUACAGUGAAAGAGUACAUUAAGGAUAUGUUUGAAAUUCUAAUAUAUGAAGGAUAUGUUUGAAUUUUAAUACAUUAAGGAUAUGUUUGAAUUCAAUCAAGCAGAUUUUUGCAAUUUUUUCUACUAUAAUAGCGUGUACUUGAUUUUGUUUUGAUACACAUUCUACUUGACUCUGAUGAGAACGAGAUUACUGUCAAUUCAAUACUCUAUAUUUACACUAAAUUUAAUUGAGUUUAAGUGUCAAACAUACUAAUACUAAGUGUCGUUAAAUAGUUUUUGCUAUACAGCAGAAUUUGAUCAAGCUGUUGUUUUCUGCAAUUUGCGAUCGACAACACUACUAAUAUCAUUAUCACUCAAAAGCAUUAAAUCUGUAUAUAUUUGUCAAAUUGGGUCAUCCAAAUUAUGUGACUGAGAAAGCAGUUAACUUACUCAAUACAAACACAGAUGUAUAUAUUUGUCGAUUCAAGAGCAUUGAUACACAUAUGCGUCUACUCAACAGUUGACAUGAAAUUGACUUUGAAACUGGUCGGCUAGUUGGACUUGUGAUUGGGCUUUUUGCGAUGUGUCAGAUGUUGUAUGAAAGCUUGCUAGCUGAUGAUUGCAGAUGGCUGUAAAAAACUGUAGGCACUGUAGUUGUGUAGUUUGUGCCAGCUGAUAAUGCGACCUAGAAUAAAAUGGUGAAUUCCGAGGAUAUGGUUGCUACUAAGGUUCCAGGGUGGGUUUCUACAACUUGUUCUAAGUUUUGUGAAGUAGGGAGGAUCAUCAGAUGCUUUAUUGGAGGUACUUGUUUUUGCCAUGAAUGAUUGUUACUAGUUCAUGGCAGGCAGUGGAUAGUUAUAUUUUAUUUGGUUUCUUUACAGUGGAGUUUUAAAGUUCAUAUCUGCCUACUAGCGUUUCUCUACUAGCGUUUGUUUUGGAUGGCUCCAUUUUUUUUAUCAGGAUGAAUCCAAUUUCUCGUUAGUGUUUGAAAACUUAUGUACUUAAAAACGUUGUUUGGCAUGAUUGAUUAAGCUGCUUUUUACCUUCAUUAAGCGUAGCAUUAUAAUAUAGUCCAAAUAUUCAAUGCCAGUAUGUCUGUUGGAAAUGGAAAUUGCAUUAUUUUCUAAUACAGUUCAUUUUCUUUCCAGGUUGUAACUGGCUUUGUUUGGUGCAUCAACAUUAAAGGUUGUGCUUGUGUACAAACAUGUGUCUCUUAGCCGUACAUUGAGAUAUUCCGUACUGUUGGUGGAUUUUUUUAUAGCCUUGGGCUGUGAACACGGUAUAAAUCUGUUUAAUUCAUUGUAUUUUACUCAUCCAUGUUAAUGUUUUUGCGGAGGUUGGAUUUGCUUUAUAUAAACGACCCCUUUAACCCGGGGGAGCAACCUCUCCCCUGUUCGUCUUCGACAAGACACCCUGAAUAAGAACCAUCAUAAUAUCAUAUAUUCUAAUGAGGUCUUUUCAUUUCAACCUAGGUAAGUAAGGUAGGUCACUGAGAAGCCAAAUCAGUGACCAGCUGCCCCCUACACUUCGUAUGAUAUAUCACAUAAUACUCACCUAGUGCUAAAGAAAUAAUGCAAAUAAACCAAAGAUAUCAAGUUACAUGCUAUUACAAAAUUUCUAAAGCAUGUAAAAUAUUCUGUUUUAGUCGGUAGAGAAUAUUUUGCAUGCUUUGGAAAUUUUUUAGUUGGUAGAGAAUAUUUUGCAUGCUUUGGAAAUUUUGUAAUAGCAUGUAACCUGAUAUCUUUGGUUUAUAUUGCAUUUUCUUAAAAUUUUCUUAUCAUCAACUUUAGCAAUAGGUGAGUAUUAUGUGACAGGUUUGUCACUAAUUUGGCUUUUAGUUUCAUAAGUUAUUGACUAGUUUCUAGUGAUAUUGGGAUGUAGUUCUAAUUAAUUCUCAGUGAGAUGAUCAGAGUAUCCACAACCUACCUUACUUACCUAGGUUGAAAUGAAAAGAGCUGUCAUUAGAGUAUAUGAUACUAUGAUGGUUCUUAUUCAGGGAGUCUUGUCGAUGACGAACAGGGGAGAGGUUGCUCCCCCGGGUUAAGGGGUCGUUUAUAUAAAGCAACCUUAAAAUUUCUUUUCCAUUGCUGUUGGUGGUUUCAUAACCGUCAUAUCCCCCUCUAAUUUAACUUUCAUCACCUGUAUAUAUAUCUCCGACUAAUUAGUUUUGGCCUUUGCUAAUUGAGUUCUUCCAAUUUGUGACUUGGUAAAUUUGUUGUCUCACAUGAGUCUAAAAUGCAUUUGAAAUGAGGAGCCUAGCAAAUAUUAUAGAUUUAUGAGAUUCAAUUUUGUUUUGAACACUAACAGAUAGUACAAGGAAAAAUUUGGUCCCUUUAGGUUACUCUUUUAGAUACAACGCUGAACAUUAAUUCCUUUCAAAGGAUAAACAUCAGUGUUUUGAACUAGAAUUAUACCAAAUGAGUAAAUAUCAAUUAAAAGUUUCCUUAAAAUAGUAGCACCAUUGAGAUUCUUGUGUCUGUUUGCAUUGUAUAUCAGUUCACCUAUAUUAUUCGAAGCUGCAACAUUCCUCAGAAUAGCAGCAAUUGAGGAGCAUGCACCGCAAGUGAAUUUGUUUAUUCAAUUGAGGAAGAAGAGAAUGAAGAUGAGUUCUAAUCUGAUGAUUUUCAAUCUGGUCCAGACACUAACUUCUUCUCUUACACUUUCAGUAUAGGGGCUAUAAUUUGCUUCAUGGAGUAAAAUUUUCAAUUUUAAAUGUAGUGUUAAUAAUGACAGGUGUAUAAUCAACUCAACACAGUCAAUGUUUACGUAAUCGACUCAACACGGUCAAUGUUACGUAAAGUGCACAAAUGUCAUGUGUUAUAAAAGUACUGAUGAAAUACUAUUUGUUAUACUGAGGGGUAAAAGUAUCUUUUUAAGGUAUCUAAUGUGUUUUCAUGAUUUUUUUCUCGGGAUGAUUUUCAUGAUAUCAUUAAUCAUUUUAAAAAAAUAAUGAAUCUUAAAUUUAGGCUUAAGAUAUAUGAAUGAAUAGUAAAUUUUGGCUUGUGAUAUAUAAUUUGUUGUAAAUUAUAAUUUUCAAGCUUAACAUACAUUUUUUAACAGAUAAUUUUCUUUUUUAGGUGAACCGAUAAUAUUUUUAUGUAGAACAAAUAUGGGGACAAUAGUUCUCUAUAUAGCAAUGCCGAGUCCCUAGGGCUCCAUUAAAUAUCAGAUAGCAGCCAGAUUAUAGAUUUAGAUUUUAGUAUUUCUCUUUUGGAUAUUCUUAAAAACUGCAAACAAAAUGCGUUUGUUUGUUUGUAUUUAUCUUAUUUGGAGAAAAUGUGUUUUUCAUGGUCUAUUUUUGUUAGGGUGUGUUUGUUUCAAGUUUACCAAAUUUAUUCCUAGGAAUAACAUUCCUUGGAAUAUAAAGAUGGGAAUUUUAUUCCAAGGAAUUUAUGAAAAAUAUGUUUGGUUAGCUUUUUAAUAUUCCUAGGAACCAUAAAAAUAGGGAUUAUAAUAGGUAAACUAUUUAUGAAUUUAUUCCCAUCUCUAUGGGAACUUUAUUCCCACCAUUUUCCUUGGGAAAUUUUUUCUAUUCCCAGGAACAUUUUAUCAUUUUAUACCCAGGAAUAAAAUUUAGUAAACUUGUAACAAACAUAGGCAUAUACAUUCUUAUCAUUUUAUUCCCGAGAAUCAACAAUUAUAACUUGAAACAAACACACCCUUAGAAAACAGUCGGAGGUGUAAAGUAGAUCUCUUUUUCUUUAGGGUAUGGUAAAAUUUGUUUGGAUAAUAGGCAAUUUAUUUUUGUUUGGAUAAAUAGGCAAUUUAUAUUUAUGCGAACAUACAAACUGGCUUUUACAGCUAUUACUGGCCAUUUAUAGUUAUUCAAUGUCUUUGAGCUCGUGUUAAUUGUUUAAAAUUUAGAAUAGUAUUUAACCCUCUGAUGGAUCCAUAUGCUCAUACUGGAAUGAGCCCCAAACUACUUUGUAUGGGAGAUUGGUGGUUCGACUCCACCUGGAUCCGACUUAUGUCAAUCAUGUUUAAGCAUGGCAAUUAGCACUCAUCUUUAUCUGUCUGGUAAAUCAAGUUGUGGCAGCAUGUAAUUCAAUGGAAAGGCCCAGAUACGUGUUAGAGGUGUAUGCUAUAAGAGAGUUUAAAAGCAGGCUACUUUCACUUUUUGUGAAUUCAUGUAGAAAUGAUUUGAUUAGAAAUGGUACUGAUGUCGAGCUUAAUUAGAUGGAAAGUCUAUAGCAUACAAGGAUUGGGUGGUGAGAAAUCUUAUUUAAGUUGUGAAAAUCAUGAACAAUUCUACAUGUUCCCUUUUUCUCUAUUGGGUUAGUAUUUUUCACGGUUCACUGAAUAUUAUUAUUUUGGCUUAAUUGCACUUUUGGCCCCUAUCUUUUCAAAAGUUGCGAUUAUUUUUCUAAUUAAUUAAAAUACAAAAUAGUCCCCUAUGUAUUGGAUCUUUGACAGUUUUGCUUCAUUUAAGGGAUGUGGGUGCCACAUCAGCGAAGACUAAGUCAAAAGUGGCCUUGGAGGCCAAAACUGCCAAAGAUCCAAUACAUAGGGGGCUGUUUUGUAUUUUUAAUUAGUUAGGAGGCCAAAAUCGCAACUUUUCAAAAGAUAGGGGGCCAAAAGUGCAAUUAAACCUAUUAUUUGAGUACUUGGGCUAGAAGGAUUGAUCGUUUUUAAUUAGAUUUUUGAAUGCAACUCUAGAAGAACAUGUAUUUUAGGUCUAAGCUGAAUGAUGUGCCAUCUGAAAUUCAUGGAUAGAUGAUUAAAUUGAUACAGUAUUACUACCUCUGUCCAUAAAUAUAGGACAUUAAGUUAAAAGCACGAAAUUAAGAAAGUUGAUUCUAUUAAUUUUAUUGACAAUUGAUAUUAUUUCACAAAUUUACCCUUUAGGAGAAAGGAUUUGUUAAUGUUUCCAAAAGUAUAUAUUGAAGAAAAAUAUGUAAUAUAAAUAGGGGUAUAUUGGUGAAGAAAUAAUUAAUGUAUUUUGAAAAGAGUCUUAUAAAAAGAAACAAAAAAUGAAUCUUAUAAUUAAAGACGAAGGUUAGUAUAUGAUUGAAGAACUACAAACAUGAAAAUGUUAACAAGUGUCUCCGGACUUAAUAAGGAAGUAUUUAUGAAAAUUCCUGUUAUUACUGCAUUGGAAAUCAUUAUAUUAACUUUUUAAAAGAAUAAUUCUUAAAUUAAGAUCCUUAAAAAAUGUCAUUGGGACACUAGUUAACAUUGAUCCAUAAUAAAAUACAUUACUCACUUCUCAUAAAUAACAAAAUCUAUACCAAAAAUAAUUAUUUUGGAUACUCUAAAAAGGGUACCCUAAACUUUUAAAAUCAUUCUAAAGUUUUAAACUAUUUUUUCAGACAACUAUUUAGUCCCUCGUUAACAAAAUUAGUUGUCUUUCAAUAGUUUAAGGAUUAAAUAGAUGUAUUGACCUGUUAGUUGAUUUACUUAUUUAAAAAGUAGUAGAUUAACAAAAGAAUGAAAUUUAUUCUUGUGAGUUUAGCUCGGUUGGUAUGGACAAUGUCACUUUUCUUAUCUUUUACCACACUACUUGGGUUUCAAAAUGAACCGUCCUUUUCUUUCUCUUGAUGCAGCUGCCUUAACCAUUUCUUCCUUUAUAGCAAAACUAGUUUAUUUCAAUUCCAAUCCCAUGUUCAUCGUAACCAUAAUCUUAUUGUUUAACCACUCUCUUUCAUCAUCUCAUGCAGUUUCAGAUCUGACCUCUCUGUUGCGUUGCACUCUUUCAUCUAUCUAUUAUCAGGUAAACUCUCGUUUAUGUUACCAUUUCUCUUUAAACCUUUUUAUUUCGUGUUUAUAAUGGUAGUAACAAAGACGGUGAAUUUUUGAAUAUAUUAUUUUAUCUGUUUUUUACAUAUGUGAACUGGAGUCCAAAUUUCUUUACGUUGUUCAUUUUCUAUACUGAUUUGCGUUUUCAAUAUUGCCUUUCGUCACUAACAUAUCCCUUUUCAGUGCAAGAUUUGAAGAUUUCAUGUUCUAGAGAUUGUUGUGUGAUGUCUACGAUUUUGUCUGAUGGGUUGCAAAAUUUCACUACUUUACCAACUGUGAUUUCCUUGAUUAAAUGAAGUGCCUUCUAUGUUGAAGAGUAACCAAUUCUCGAUAGAGAGCUAAUUAUGGGAUAAUGGGAAUAAACCAAUGGUAAAAUAUACCAUUCACCGGCGUCAUCCUCGAAAAGAAAGAGUAUGAGGUCUUUCUCCGGAGUGGGAGGAGGGAGGGAGUUGGUGGGUUAGGGUUUUAGACCUUAGGGUUUCGGACCUUUUGUCGCAAUCGGGUUUGAGUUCCUUGCUUUCAAAUUGAUGGAGCAAUCGAGGGCGGAAGGAUAAUUUUGAGAAGAAUGUACAUUGUUUAUUAGUUUAAUCCAAGAAAAACAAUUUUUCUUAAUUCUUGUGUAUUUAUUAAAAAGGUCUUAUACGUAAAAUUUUUGUGAUCAAUUUUGUACUGUUAAAUUAUAUAAUUAGGAUAUGUUUUGAUUGUUUAAAUUCAAUCUAACACAUGUUUGCGAUGUUUUCUACUAUAAAAAAAUGCACUUGAUUUUGUAAUGGUAUGCAUGCUACAAUUAGAUUCAGGAGAGAGUUAGAUUACUCUCAGUUGGUGUCAAAUAGCGGCUAUUGUGGCACCAUGACGCAGCAAAAUUUGAACAAAUCACUUCUGUUCCAUGAUCCGCUAUUUAGAACAAAGUGUAGUCAAAUAGCCUCUGUUGUGGCGUUAUAGCAUAGUGAAAUUUAAGCAAAUUCCAGCUGACAACUAUAUUAUCAGCUUCUCAUUUCCAUCCAAAAAUCUUUGAAUCUGCACAGUAGAAUUGGUAACGAAUCAACUAAAUUAUCUUGUCAAAGAGGCAGUUAACUUAAUCGUGAAUACAAUAAAUUAAAACGCAAAUGCAUAUAUUUGUUGCCUCAUGACCACUUGGACUCAGAUACGUGUAAUCUCAACUUCUUAUUUGCCAAUUUAUUUGAUUUUUCCAUUACAUAUCUACAUGGUUGUAAUCAUGUCUGAUAUCCGUAUUCAUUUAAUACUAUAACUGUCGACACGAAAUGGCAGUUAGACAGUACUGGUUGGCAUUUUGCGUCUGUUAUAAAGCUGUUAGUUGGACUUGUAAUUGGGGUUUCCAUGAACGAUAUGCACUUAUUUUGCAAUAGAUCUUGGUGCUUGAUGAUUAUGUAAAUGUGAAAUUUUGCUUAAUAUAUAUUCUUUUAUACUAAUAUGAUAUGAUAAACAAUGUGUUUAAAUUUUAAUUAUUAAUAUGUUAUAUAGCAAAAAUAGUUAGCUAUCAACAAUGUGUUAAUCUAAAAGAAUAAAACAGUAAAUAACAUAUUGUUAUAGGGUGCACCUUGUUAUAUUAUUUGUUGUUUAAAUAAUUGAAAUAAGUACUAGAACUACGGUUUUGGUAACUGAAUGUCUCUUCCAAGCCAAACCAACAUACAAAACACCUCCCCUAUCAUUUCCUACCAUUCAUCUCUGCUUUGCACACAAAUUGCCAAGACAUAAUAGCCAACCGGGCUCUUCAACGAACUUUGUAAUGAAGGCAUUCAAAGCUUAUUACAAGCUUCGCCUUGGAUGCACCAACAAGCGUCGUUUGGGUGCUAGGCUCAAGAGGGCUGCUGCUGAGGCAGAAAAGGAGGACAAGAUUACUUGACAUCCCUUUUGUUUAUUCUCUUUAAUAUUUAGUUGAUGUUUUUAUUUAUAUGAAGAUUAUCAUCUAUAGAGAUACUUUACUCAUAAUUUUACAACAUUUUGUGUACUGCUACUUAAGUUUGUUGGUUUUGCAAGUGCUAUGUUUUGUUUAUCUGUUCACGUGUUUCCAAAUCAGAAUUGCAUCAUGAUUAAGCAUACCAUCCAUGGCUUCUGCCAAGUUACCACCGGAUGUCUCAGAUUUUUCAAAAGGCAUAUACUAAAUUGAUUAUAACAGCAGAUGAGCCUGUGGGUGUGUAUUAGCUUUUGAGGAAUCAAACAAUGGUUACUGUUAACCUGUGAAGCCCGGAUACGAGAUACGAUACGGAUACGAUACUGCACCGAUACGUCGAUACGGCAAAAUUUCAAAAAUCAAGAUACGAUACGGCUGAGAUACGUUAAUAAAAAAAUUAUAUAAUUAAAUGUACUAUAUAAUUAUAACCAUUUUUUUAUUAUGCAAGUAUAUUAACAAACACAAGAAACCAGACUCGUAGCACAUUAAUAUAAAUAUAAUAUUGACGAUUAAGAGAGUGGUCAUUAGUCAAUUACAUACGCAAUAUAUACCAAAAUUAAGAGCACCAUCAGUGUUAUACAUCAAUGCUACACUAUAUCCAAAAUGAACUUGUUAGUGAUAUACUAUAUCGAUCCAAAAAAGAAUCACUAUAUCCAAAAAAAGAACACAUCAGUACUAAGAGUUAACACUAACAAGUAACUGACGUUUACAUCUCCUCUCCUCCAUUCCCAUCAUCAAGAUACAGAUCAACUUCCAAAUCCGGUUCAUCCAAAGACAACUCUGCUAACUCAAUUCCAACACCAUCAAGCGGUUCAUGCGCAUCUCCUCUAAUGUCCCACAUUCUUGAUUGUCCUUUCUUAUAUCCACAUUCUUUCCUUGACAAUAGUCGAAGAUUAAUAUGCACAUAAACCAAAUCUUCUACCCUUUUUGGAUCCAUUUUGUUUCUUUUCAAAGAAUGGAUAAAAGAGAAAGUACUCAAAUUUCUCUCACAACAGGAGGAAGAACAAGGUUGCACAGGAAGCUUUAAAGCAAGCUUUUGGAUAGUUCGACGGUGGCCAAAGUGGACGGCGACCACUUUGGAAGAAAAAGUUGAAACCCUAAUUUCUUAGAAAGGGAAAGAUGCAAUUGGUUGUGUGGUGUGGUGUGGGUCGUACUGGCACCAAAGAAAGAUAAAGGAAAUAUAUAUAUAUUAUAGUAAUAUAAUGUUUUUAUUCUUAUUUUUUACACAAAAAAAAAAACAGAAAUCAAAAUAAUAUAAAAAAACACAAGUAUCCGUGCGUAUCGGGAUGUAUCGGAAAGUAUCGGAUAAUUAUUUUUUAAAAAAAUAAAAUUUAAUAUUUAGAUACUCUCCGGAUACGUAUCGGAAAGUAUCGGGCAGGUAUCGGUGCAGGAUACGCAGGGGAUACGGUACGUCAUCCAUUUUGAAGUAUCGGGGCUUCACAGCUGUUAACUACAGUUGGGGAUAAAAUGGUAUUUUCCAUGUGUUUUUAAGCAGAACUUGAUGUGGAAAAACAAUUUUCCUCUCCUAAUAUGAUAAACUUGUGCCCUUAACGGCUCAAAUUAAAGAACUAAGAAAGGAAAUAAUAAAUAAAUGAGUAAAUAGACAAUUAUCCCCUGAAAUUGUAAGUUUCGUCAAUUACCCAUCGAAAUUAACAAAAUUUCAAUUACCCCUGAAAUUUUACAACUUUAAUCAAUUUACUACUUCCGUCAAAUUUUUCUGUCAGUGAACAUGACGUUUUGCAAAUACUCCCUAAAGUUUUGCAUUUAUGUGCAAAAUGCCUCACGAACUUAAAAAUUUAUAUUAUUUUUUAAUAGGUGGAAGAAAAAUACACACCAUAAACACAAACACUAGAACAUGACUGCUCUAAAUUCAAGAUCAAUGGAAACUGGUUGAGAACCAAUAAAUUAAUUUUCAUAUUUCUUUUGAAUUAGAAAAGUAAUUAUUACCGACCUGUUUGGUUGGGGAGAGAGAGAAAGAUGGACGAGAGAAACAGCCAAGAAACUGUCAACUUCUUUCGUUUGGCACACGAGAGAAACAGGUGCGAGAGAAUAAAUCAGCGUGGGUCCCACACCUUUUUUCUUCGUCUCUAUCCUGCGAAAAAAACAGAGAGAAAGAUUCGUUAAUUCAUUUUUCCAUUAAUACCCAUGUUUCUCUGUAAAUAAUGGAGAGAAGCUUCUUCUCUACUCUUUGGAAUUUUCCUUAGUGGCCAAAAAAUUUACAGCUUAAAUAUUGCCUUGUAUCUGUAAAAGAAGUCGAUAGAAGACAGAGGUUAAAAACAAAUUGGAGUUUAAUAAUAACAAUCGUUGAUAGACUUAUCAAAAAAACUAUAUUAAUUUAAAACUGAACAUUUGUGUCUAUAGUAAGAGAAGUUAAUAUUAACAAAAAAAGUGAUUGUGGAUGAGACGAAAGGAACAACGUGUAUAUAUACUAUGAUGGUCUUUGGGUUAAUUAUGAAUAUUUAUAGGUUAAUUUAGUCAAUUAAAUUUAAAAUUAAAAGUUAUAAUAACAAUUCUGUCAAAAAAAAUUACAAUAACAAUAUUUAUCAAUUCAAAUUUAUAAUUUCUAAAAUUACAAAAAUAAUAUAAUAUAUUACUUUCAAUUAAAAAAAUAAUCUAAUAGGUUAAACUACUAGAAACUUGAUUCAAGUUAUUUAAAAAAUUAAAUAAAUGGCUCAAAAAACAUUAAAUUAAUUUUUAUAUAAGGCUUUUCACUUAGGGGUAUUUUGGUACAUUCCAAUAUAAUCAAUAUUUCUUUCUUCUCUAUCUCUUCUAUCUUUUUCUUAUAUCAAACAACCUAUCAAAUCAACUUUGUUUCUCACUUAUUUAUCUCUUUUCAAACUCUCUCUUAUCUAUUUCUCUCUUCACAAUUUAUCUUCUCAAUCAAACGCACCCAACAUGUUGGCUAUAGUACUUACAAUCUUAUUCUAAUGAAAAACAAAAAAUAUCAGCACAGGAACAAAUGACUUUGUCAUUUGCACUCUUAUAUCAUAUAAUUUCUAUACAUAUCAAUAGUGAGCAAGAGAUUUCACAGAAGGAAAAAGCCAAAAGUAAUGAAAAAAUAAUAUAAAUUUUUCCCACCCCAUAGAGCCAACUUUUUUUGUUCUUAUGGUGUGUAUUUUCAUUUAUUCUAGUGUUCCACUUAUGAGAAAAUAAUAUAAAUUUUUAAGUUCGGGAGGCAUUUUGCACAUAAGUGCAAAACUUUGGACGGUAUUUGCAAAAUGUCAUAUUCACUAACAGAAAAAUUUGACGGAGGGGGUAAAUUGAUUAACGUUGUGAAAUUUUAGGGGUAUAAUUGACGAAACUUACAAUUUCAGGGGGUAAUUGCCUAUUUACUCAUAAAUAAAUUUGUAUUGAAAAAUAUAAAUUGUUAAACUUUUACAACAUUGAAUACACAAGUUUCAAGAAAAUAUUUUUAUCUUUAGUUUUUUAACUUGUGCUUUAAAUAUUCAAGUUAAUAUUUUCCAUAAAUAAAUUGGUUAUGUAAUAUUGAUUAUGUUUAAGAACAUGAUAAACAAUAAAUUUGAGUUUAAAAAUCAAUUGUAAAGGCAAAAAUUAUGUAUUCUAACUUCAAAUUAGAAUGAGUAAAGGGUGAUAAGAUCAUCAUGCGUUUGAAGCAUAGCUCUCUUGAAUUCUAAUACCGAGUUUCAAACCAUACUUGACAAUUGAGACAACCAUUUCAUCAUCAAAACAGCAAGUUUAAUUAGAGCACUACCUUCCUUUAUAUAAGUUCAUGGAGAAGAAAUUUAAGUAACAUUAUGCAUAUCAAAUAAUUUUUUAUUUUUUUUUAAAAGUAUGUCCAAGUCUCAAACAGAAGACCUCAAGGUGCAAGAACAAGUUCGAAACCAAGUGAUCUUUUGAGAGACAAACAAUCUUUUGAUAUAUAUGAGCGAGGAGCAGGACAUACAAUAUUUGAAAAUUGAAAUACACAACUAAGUUUUGUCCUAAUGUGUCAUUGAUGAAUGUCUCGAUACAUUAUGUUCAAAUCAUUUGCAAUGCUAUCCUUUAUAUCUAAUCCUAGCAGCAAUGCAAACUCUAAUUGCCAACCUCUAACCCUACUUUUUUGGCUCCAUUUUAUUCUGACCGUUAGAUCAUUGUAAUUAGAAAAAUUAGCACAUCAGCCGUUAGAUCAAAUCACACUCUUUGAAAAAUGAAACACAAAAACAAAACAGCUGUUAUUAUCUGAUCUUUUUUCAAUGUACAUAUUUUCUUUUUCCACGCUUUUUUCUUUUCCAAACACUCUUUUGUGAAACUCUUUUCUGCUUACCUUCAUUUCACUACACCUCUCUCUCUCUCUCUCUCUCUCUCUCUCUCUCUCUCUCUGCCAAUGAAAAAUUUCACUCUCUUCCAUACGUCUUUUCUACUUUCACAAUCGUGUUUCUCCUCUCAUCCCUCGCCGUCGUCGACUUGACCGCCACCGUCCACCUCAGCCUCAACACACCGCCGUCGUUUUUCCUUUUCUUGAGACCAGGUAUUUCUUUGAUAUUUGUUCCCGAUAAAUCAAAUUCAAAUCCCUAAAAAAGCAUCACCUUUUUUCUCUUCCGCGUAGGCAAACCUGAGACGGACGGCCACGGUCCCGACCUUAUCAGCACCGGAGGUGUACUAAAUAGUCAAUUGAGAACGAGCAGGUAUUCAUUCAAUCAUUGUUAUCAAUUUAGUGGAUUCGGUCUAUUCCAAUUUGGUUGAAUUAUGUGUUUCAGUGUUUGUUUACGGGUAAGUAAAUUUGAUUGAAUUUGGGUGAUUAUAAGAAUAUAAUGUGUUUUAUGGGUACUGGGUAGUAUAUUUUGUAGUUGGUUUGAUGGCAAUGUUUAUGGUUCAGUAAUGACCAUGUUUAAGUCUACUGAUUAUUAUUAUUGGUUUUAAAGAAUAGUGCAGCGAAACUCAGAGAAACUAAGUGCUAAGAAGUUGGGAAUUGUGGAUUUGAAACCGCGGCCCAGUGUAUCAAAUGUCUCUAUAUUAUUUGUUUAAUUAGUAAAUUAUCAAUGUUUUGAACAUUAGUUGUGGUAAAUGUCGUGGUUGUAUCACGAUCUUUAGUGUUGCAGUGAGAUGCAGUCAAUGCGGUUUCAGUCGUGGCCGAAUUCCUGUUUCGAUAACAUAAAAGGUUAUCACGUCGCAGUCCAGACUGUGGUCACGGACCUCUAUUUAAAACCUUAUAUAUUGUAGUAAAAAAAUUAAAAAUUACUCCAUUCGUCCCAAAUUGUAUGACGUUUUGGGCAUUUCACACAUAUUAAGAAAUGUAAUUAAUAUUGUGUAGGAAAGAGAUAUUAUGAGUUGUUUUACAAAAUUAUCCUCAAUAAAUGAUAUGAGAAAGAUAAAUGAAGGAAUUGAAAGGAGAGAGUAAUAAAUAGUUAAGGAUAUAAUAGGAAAAAUAAUAUUAAUUUUUCAUUGGUAUUGUAAAGCGACAUAUAAUUUGGGACAAAUAUUUUUUCUAAAGUGACAUACAAUUUGGGACGGAGGGAGUAUAUAAUUAUCUGUGGUUUGACUGAUGUUGAACAUCAUUCUGACACUGUUCAUGUUCCAUCACUUUAUCUAACAAGGUUAGAACAGAAAACACAUUAAUACAUUCUCUCCUUUAACUUUUUUCAGGUGGCCAUGCUCUUGGUUCUUUUUAUUGAAUAGCAUUGAGCAACAAAAUUGAAAAAUAACACUUGCAGAACAUUUUCAUUGUAAAUUUGAUCAAUGGGUUCUAGAUUUGUGGAAGGAGAACAAUCAUCACUCACUGACGAUUAGGAUGCCUUGAUUUCGACGACUGAUGUUGAGCUUCUCAAGCGAGCUUGGCGUAAUGAAAAGGCAGCCCCCCCUGAGAUUCUUCGUUUUGAAUCUGAUUUGAUCAACCGCGUCAAAGGACAGAUUGAAUUGAUGGUAACGUUUCAAAAACUGAUUACCUUUUACUUUUUGUGAUUUCUUAUGAUAGCUUGCCAACUGAAAAGAAUUUCAGUUUUGAACAAUUAUAAACUCAAUUAUAUCAUUUUCUGAAAAAGGAUUCUUCAUAAAAUCUUUAGGCAUGAACCAAAAAUGUAUGACACAUUUGGAUCUUAAAGCAACCUAUAACCCAAAAGGUUUAUUUAGCAUGAUAUUUUAUGUUGAGAAUGUGUCUUUGCAGAUGGUGUUAUGUAUCUCAUUUUCAAAUUGCUAUAUAGUGUUGGUAGUUAAUGUGUUUUUAGAUCGUAUUUGAAUUAAGAAUACUUAAGUUUAUAUGUUCGGACAUGAUAGGUUGAGGACCACUUCAACAAAUUUGGAAUGGACAUUUGCAGAGAUCUCGAAGGUGAAGAUGAAAUAAGAAUUUUCAGGUAUGAAUUGGAAGUAGAGAAAAUAUUGUGAAUGAAAUGAACUACUUGAAUUGUGUACAAUCAAAGAAACUUAAAGAUUACUACUCUUCAUUUGAUACAUCUAGAAAUUUUAUCUACUAUGUAAAAGUAAAUUUGAUUAUAAGGAGUUUUUUGAAUUCAUGUGUAACCACUCCCUUUUGAGUUCUAACCCCUCCAAUUAUAUAAUUUAAAUAACAUCAUUACCUUUGAUUGCUGUCAAAAAACAUGAGAAUCAUUUAAGAUUUCAAUAGAGUAAAAUAUAUGUAAUUAUGAAAUUAUUGAAGAUCAAUAUUAGUAAGUUUUGACCACUGUUGGAAACUCUGACACAUGCAUAUUCCAUGAUCAUUGAUUGUUGUCAAUCCACCAAUUCCUUUUAUUAUUUGCCUUGAAUAGAUUUUGUAGCAUCCACACAACAAUUCCUUUAAUUAGCAAAAUUUAUUAUGGAUAUUAGAAUGAAUAUUAAGUAACUUAUAAACCAUUGAUUUUUUGUUUCAAUGCAGACAUUGGCAGGACCAUUGUCGCUGCUUGCCGAAAGUGCAAUAAUCCUAAGGUUCACCUUGAUAGUCUUAGCUUCCACUUUCAAUAGUUAUGAUAUCCAAUUCUCCUCCCGUUGCUUUUUUUGUGAGAGGUGCCUUAUGACUAUGCAACUGAUGCUUCUUUGUAGCAGCAGGGACCUAUGUUGGUUUAGUUUGACGAGUUUAUGUGUUUUGAUGAAUUUUUUAGUGGUUUUGCUGUUAUAUCUCUUUUGUUUGCCACAUUGUAAUGGUCUAAUUUGGUUAUGUUACAAACUUCUUGGUGUUGAACACUUCUGUAAUCUUUAAUUUUGUACUAUCAAUCUUAUUUCAAAAUUCUGUUACUAUGACAAUGGUGGUUUGAACUAAAUCAUUGGAGUAUGGUGGAUCUGAUAUGAUAACUAUGAUAGUGUAUGUGACAAUGGUUUUUUUCUUGGUGUCAUUACAUUGUACUGCCUAUUAGUGUAGUUAUGUUUGUAGUAGGUUUGGUCUUCUGUUAUGAUGGGCGUAAAGACAACCACUGUUUAAGGUGUAGCAGUGUAAACCGAAGCAUAAGAUAUCAAGAUUCUUGAUGGAACUUUAUUUAGUGUUUGUCCAUCUUGAUAGCACAUUAUUUUGUGGGCCCACUACAAUUCUUCACUGUAAAUUGGUAGUGUCUUGCUGAAUAAUAAUGGUGAAGUUUGUGAUAAAUUAUCACUAUCUUAUUGAUUUCAUAUGAGGCACAAAACAAGAUUAAAUACAAAAUAGUAAAGUGUUAUAAGGUAAAUGACAUUUAAAAUAAACUAAUAAUCCACUCAUUAAUCCCUGUUACAUAAGAUUGGGUAAGUAGGUACCUGAAUGCAUUUCCGACCUAUAUACGUGGAUCGAAAUACACUCUCAUUUACUAGGAAGGAAAGUUAACGAGAAUGAAAAUGGAAAUCUAAAUUGAAAUUGAUAUGUUAUCUUAACCGAUGAAAAUGGUAAUUGCAAUGAUACUACUACCAAUGUCGUAUACAAAGAAAUUUUCCAUAAUGUAUGAACAUUGACAAUGAUGUUAAAAAAAUAAUAUUAAGGUCAUCUUAGUCAAAAAAAUUAUGUGUAUUAUAGCGCACGGGUUGUCGCAUAAGUUGUAUUAAUUACGUUUGACAUAUUAGAAUGAAGUUCAACUAAUAUUUUUAGCUAUAUAUGACCCGUGCUGCUGCACGGGUAGACGAUCUAGUUUAUUUCAAGGUAAAGAUGUAUAUAUAAAAAUCAGGGGUUCAAAUAUCAACACCAAACAAGUAGUAUUAGUUUUUGGGUUAACCCAAAAGCUUAAAAAAAAAAAACGAAAAACACGUGUCAGACAAAAAUAUCUGGUCAUCAUUAUCGAGAACCUUCAUUUCUUUACACCGCCUAACCAACUUAAUCAAUCUGGACCGUUGAUACAGUUGUCACCAACUAAUCUCAGCUGUUUAUUUUCUCCAUCACUCACUUUAUAUAAUCCGGUGAUAAACCAUUUCUUACCUUCGCCUAAUUUGCCGCGUGAAAAAUAGCUCUAUUAUUACCACCUUUUCUCUCCAAUUCUCACUUCUAGUUUCAUCCAUGGAUCUUCGAGAUCUCAAUUUCGUUCCACCUGAUCCUGAAUCGAAUAAGGUUAGUUAAUUUUUGUUUUUUUUUUCUCUUUAGUUUCUGUGAUGAGAUGCAUCGAUUUGAAUUUCGUUUAAUCGAUUCCGUUGUUUUGUUUGUAGGUCUCAGUGGAUCUACUGAUGAAUCGAUGAUCGUUUUUCCAUGUGUUGGAGAUACUGAUGGGAGAUUUGUGUUGAAUCAGAGCAAUUACCACGAUAUUAGUUGUUAAUAAUUUCAGUUUAUGGUAACAAUCCUUUAGAUGUUGUUAUAUUUUGUAUAACUUUCGAAUUCAAUCGGUGAGAUCGGAAGUUUUUGGUUGAGAGAGAGAGAGAGAGAGAGGAAGGUGCUAUUUGUUGAAUUCCUGUGAGAUUUGUGAAUGGAUCUUUGCCAUGUCAGGUGCGCUUGCUUGGCAGAUCCGAAAAAGCUUAAUAAAAUUGCAGUUAUUUUGUUUUGAGAGGGAAGAGAGAGAUAGGUUUGGGGAUAGUUUUUUUCUCCGCCUCUCUAUCUUUUCCCUCUGUUGUGUGUGUGUCUUGCCUCUUGCAUCUCUUUUUUUCUGUUCUGUUACUUUUCGUUACUCUACCAUUAUGCACGAUGCGUACACUACUAAUUACAAGAGUUAUAAUUAACUAAACCUAAUUCAACAAUCAAUCGGCAACAUGUUGAGGUAUGGCUGCAAUUCAACUUUACGAUACACUUCAUUGUGUUUAAGAUAGACAUGUGCAAUGUUUUCAUCAGUAAGUUAUUUUAUUUUAUUAUUUAUAUUUACCUUUGUCCCUAUUUAUAAAAAUGUCAAAUUUUGUUGUCCAUUUUAUAAGACCCUCUUCAAAUAUUAAGUUUACAAGAUUCAUCAAUUCUCUCUCUUAAUAAUUGAAGGAUAAUUUUGAGAAGAUUGUACAUUGUUUACUAAUUUAAUGCAAGAACAUUUUUUCAUAAUUCUUGUGCUUUUAUCAAAAGGGUCUUAUAAAUAUACGGACGGAUGUAGUUUCAUAUUUUUUGCUUUUUGUGAAUCAAUUUUGUACGGUUAAAUUCAAUUGACCAUGUCUGGAUUGUUUAAAUAAUAACAUGUCUGCAAAGUUUUCUACUAUAAAAAAAUGCAGUUGGUUUUGAGGGGUAACGGGUUCAAGUUUUCUGCAAAGUUUUCUACUGGUAAAGUUGUUGUCAUGUGACUGGAAGGUCACGGGUUCAAGUCCUGGAAAUAGCCUCUUGUGUAAAAAAUAGGGUAAGGCUGCGGACAAUACACCGAAUGGUGGGACCCCUUCCCGGUCCCUGCGUAUGCGGGAGCUUUAGUGCACCGAGUUGCCUUUUUUUUUUUUUUAUGCAUGCUACGAUUAGAUUCAAUAGAGAGUUAGAUUGCUCUCAGUUAGUGUCAAAUAGUGGCUAUUUUGGCACUAUUGCAUAGCAAAAUUUGAACAAAUCACUUCUGUCACAUAAUCCGCUGUUUAAAACAAAGUGUUGUCAAAUAGCCGCUAUUGUGGCGUUAUAGCAUAGUGAAAUUUGAGUAUUGCACUUGCAAUUGACAACUCUAUCAUAAGCUUUUCUUUGAUUCUGCACAGUCGAAUUGGUACUGAAUCAUUUAUCUUGCCGAUGAGGCAGCUAACUUAUUGGUGAAUACAAUAAAUUAAAACGCAAUGCAUAUAUUGUUGCCUCAUGACCACUUGAACUGUGAUACGUAUAAUCUCAACUUCUCAUUUGCCAAUUUUAUUUGAUAAUUUUCCAGUACAUAUCUACAUGGUUGUAAUCAUGUCUGAUAUCCGUAUUCAUUCAAUACUAUAUAUAACUGUCAACAUAAAAUGGCUGUUGGACUGUAUGGUUGACAUUUUGCGUCUGUUAUAAGCUGUUUGUUGGACUUGUAAUUGGGUUUCCUUUGGAUGUGUGGAAUUUUAUUGUACGAUCCAUUUGUAUAAUAUGCCAAGGAGCUUACUAGCUGAAGAGUGCAGAUUUUUUGUAAAAAACUCUGUCCAGUGUAUCUUCAAAGCUCUUGAUGUAGUUUCUACUAUUGAUCAACAAUUUCAAGUUAUGCACUCUUUUUAAGCAUUGUGCGACCUGUAAUAGAUCUUGUAGCGUAAAAUGUGAAGACCUGAUUGCUGCUAGAGGAUGAAGGUUUCAGGACUGGUCUGCUCAACUUGUCCGACAGUUUUCUGAAGCAAAGAAGGUCAUUCGAUGCUUUUGUUGGAGGUAUAGGUUUAUCCCAAAUGACAGUUACAGCUGGCUCAUGGCAUUUGAUUAAGUUUAUAUUAAUUCUUUUAUUUACUCUCUUUGCAGAAUUUGUUGGCGGUAUAUGUUCGUGUGAAAUUUCAAUUGGUGAGAUCAGGAGUCGUGUUUGCGUGAGAUGCAUGUAAUGUGAGUGUGAAGUAUAUACACAACACAAGGUAUCUGUGUUAAAUGGAUCUUCGCCAUGCCAGGCGUGCUUGCGUGGCAGGUCCUAAAAAUCUGAAUUGUUUUUUAUUUGUUGGCUGUAUAUUGUUCUUGUGAAUUUCAAUUGGUGGGAUCAGAAGUCGAGGUUGCGUGAGAUACAUGUAAUGUGAGUGUGAAGUAUAUACACAACAGCACAAGGUAUCUGUGUUAAAUGGAUCUUUGCCAUGUCAGGUGCGCUUGCAUGGCAGGUCCGAAAAAUCUUAAUGAAGUUACAGUUAUUUUGUUUUGAGAGGGGAGAUAGGUUUGGGGACAUUUUAUUUUAUCCCCCCCCCCCCCCCCUCCCUCCCUCCCUCCCUGUCGUGUGUCUUGUCUCUGUUUUUUCUUUUCUUUCUUGCUUCUCUGUUCUGUUACAUUCCUUUACUCUACUAUUAUGAAGGAUUCUUAUAAACAAAACCUAAUUCGACAAGCAAUCGACAGCACAUUGAAGUACAUAAUGCGAUAAGAAGGUACAUGGUUGUGUUGUUAUGAUAUUAUUACCAGAUUUAUUCUCUAUCCUGAAUUCAUGACAUUAUUUGUGGUUUCUGACUAAAAUUGAAGGCCAUGGCUGCAAUUAAACUCUACGAUACGUUUAAUCGAUUUACUUUAGACGGUCACCUCACGAGCAAUAUUUUCAUCAUUGAGUUAUUUUAUUAUUUUUAUAUCAAAUAAUUUUUUUACAGUGAAAGAAUACAAUUAUAUGUUGAAUUCUAGAAUACAUUAAGGGUAUGUUUGAAUUCAAUCAAGUAUAGUUUUGCAAAUUUUUCUACUUUAAUAGUGUGUGAUUGAUUUUGUUGUGGUACACAUUCUACAAUUAGACUCUGAUGAGAGGAGAUACUGUCAAUUCCAUACUCUAUGUUUACACUAAAAUUUUAAUUGAGUUUAAAUGCAAACAUCCUAAUACAAUAGCAAAUGUAACUUGAUAUCUGGUUUUUUUUUUUUGAGAGAAAGAACUUGAUAUCUGGUUUAUAUUGUAUUGUUUUUUAUUCAGUGUUUUGAACCUGAAUUAUACCAAAUGAGAAAAUAUUAACCAGAAAGUUUCCUUAAGCACUAUUGAGAUUCUCGUGUCUGUUAAUGUGUGGAAUUAUCAACCAUUUCAAGUUAUGCACUCUUUGCUUGUGCGACCUGGAACACAUCUUGUAAAAGUGAAAUUUGAAGACUUGAUUGCUGCUAGAGGAUCAAGAUUUUGUAAAGCAGGGAAGGUCAUUUGAUGCUUUUGUUGGAAGCCUUGGAGGUAUAUGUUUUUAUCCCGAAUGACAGUUGCAGCUGGUUCAUGGCAUUCGAUGAAGUAUAUAUACAGAAUUUGUUGGAGGUAUGUUUUUUUAUUCCUUGUGAGCAUGUGAGCGUAUACUACAUCAACACAAGGUACUUGUUCUGUUUCUGUGUUAGUUAAGGGAUCUUUGCCAUGUCAGGUGCGCUUGCAUGCCAGGUCUGAAAUAUCUUAAUAAAAUUAUAGUUAUUUUGUUUUGAGAGGUGAGGGAGAGAUAGGUUUGGAGACAUUUUCUUCUAUUUCUUUGCCUGGCCUCUCCCCCUCUCUGCUGUGUGUCUUGCCUCUUCUGUCUCUCCUAGCCUCUCUUUUUCUAUUAUGUUGCUUUCCUUUACUAUUAUGCGCCACACAUACUAAUAACAAGAUUCUAAUUAACAAAACAUAAUCGGCAACACAUUGAGGUACACAGUGCGAUGACAAGGUGCAUGGUUAUGUUGUUAACCUGAAUUUGUGGCAUUACUUGUGGUGUAUUGAUUAAAAUUGAAGGCUAUGAAUUGAAGGCUAUUUCUGUAAUUGAACUCUACGAUAUGUUCAUUCUAUUCACUUAAGACAGUCACGAGCAAUAUUUACAUCAAUAUUUUAUUAUUUAUAUCCGUUACCAUUUUUUCGCGAUUUUUAGAAAUAAACUUGUGGUUAAAUGAUACAUUUAGGAUAUAUUUUGUGAUUUCUAGAAAUAAAUUUUCACAGUUAAAUGACACAUAGGAUAUGUUUGAAAUCAAUCAAAUUUCUGUUUGCAACUGUAGGAGCCUGCACUUGAUUUUGUAGUGUUACACAUGUUACAAUUAGACUCAGAUGAGCACAAGAUUACCGUCGAUUCGGUAUUGUGUUUAUAAGUGUUAAACAUAUUAAUACCCGGUGUCUGUUAAAUAGUGGUGCUAUAGCACUGUUGUAUAGCGGAGUUAGAUUAGACUGCUAUAGUGCUAUUUUCUGUGAUUUGUGAUUGCCAACAAUGCUUGUACCUUUUCAUUCCGCUCAAAGCAUUAAAUCUUUAUAAUAACAGACUUGAUUUGGUAUUGGAUCAUCCAAAUUAUCUGACAGUUAACUUCUUUUGUGAAGACAAUAGAUAAAAAUGCAGAUGCUAGUUGACAUGAAAUGUGUUUGAUAUCACUUGGUUGUAAAUCGGAUAUUCCAUGUUUAUAAUUUAGAAGCUGCGGCAUAUCUCAGAGUAGCAGGAAUUGAGGCAUACACCCUAACUCACUACUCUUCAUCACAUGACAAAGUGAAUUUAUUUAUUCAUUGAGGAUGAAGAAAAGGGAAUGAAAGAAAGAAGAGAAUGAAGAUGUGUUCUAUAAUAUAAUUAUUGACAGGUAGACAAUUCACUCAACAAAAUCAAUGGAGAAGCACAAUUUCUUGUUAGAAGUACCGAUGAACUCCUAUUUAUUGUACUGAGAGACAGAGUAUUUUUUAGGGGAUAAAAUGGAAUUUCAUGAUUUUAUUCCUCAGACAAAAAAUGUUUUAAUAAACUUCAGUUUAUGAUAUAAUUUUCAAAAAAGAAUGAUCUGUAAAUUUAGGCCCGUGAUUUACAAUUAAUUUUAAUAAGAUAUUUUUAUUGUAGGAAUAUUGAAAACAGAGUGAUGUGUAAGGUAGCUUUCUUUUUCUUGAGAGUCUGUCAGUCGCACAUGAUAAUUUGUUUGGAUGAACAGGCCAUUUUAUAACAUACAAAUAAACCGGCUUUUUCAACUAUAAUGAAUUUGUUAUUAGAUGUGUCUGAACCCUAUGAUGGAUCCAUAUGCUCGUAUUGGAAUGAGCCCCCAAACUGCUUUGUAUGGGAGAUUGGUGGUUCGACUCCACCUGGAUCCGACUUUUGUCAAUCAUGUUUAUGCAUAGCAAUUAGCACUCAUCUUCAUAUGUCCGCUAAAUCAAGUUGUGGCGGCAUGUAUGAAAGGCCUUGAUAGUGUUAAGAGGUGUACAAUUGAAGAGAGUUUAAGAGUAAGUUAGCAGGUUACUUUCACUCUCUAAGGCAAAUAUUGUGAAAUAAUUUAUAAAUGAUAUUUUUUUUAUUUAAUCAUUUAGAAAUAAUACUGAUGUCAAGCUUGUUAAAUACUUGGCAUAAAUAUCAUGCAUGCAAGUGAUUAGUUAGUUGGUAAGAAAUCUUAAGUA
rnacentral:lncRNA from 1 species